CGUGCGCCGGUGGGGUCCCUCGGCCUGGCCUGUAACCUCUCGCAAUCUGGGACCCCUCCGGGGAUGUUGGAGAGCCGAUUCAGCCUGAUCCCACAGGCCAGGCCGAGGGACCCCACUGGUGCAUG
rnacentral:pre_miRNA from 1 species